UACGUAGGGUGCAAGCGUUGUCCGGAAUUAUUGGGCGUAAAGAGCUCGUAGGCGGCUUGUCGCGUCGACUGUGAAAACCCGCGGCUCAACCGCGGGCCUGCAGCCGAUACGGGCAGGCUAGAGUUCGGUAGGGGAGACUGGAAUUCCUGGUGUAGCGGUGAAAUGCGCAGAUAUCAGGAGGAACACCGAUGGCGAAGGCGGCCAGCUGGGCCGUCCCUGACGCUGAGGCGCGAAGGCGUGGGGAGCGAACGGG
rnacentral:rRNA from 1 species